CUUAUACUCCCUCCGUCCCAAAAUUCUUGUCUUAGAUUAGUCUAGAUACGGAUGUAUCUAAUACUAAAACGUGACUUGAUACAUCCGUAUUUAGACAAAUCUAUGACAAGAAUUUCGGGACGGAGGGAGUAUAAA
rfam:Triticum aestivum genome assembly, contig: Triticum_aestivum_CS42_TGACv1_scaffold_081689_1DS